UUGCAGAUUCUCAGUUUCUUAAAGUUUCUCUCUAACCAAACAAUCGCACAGACUAAAUCCCAGAGAUUCAAACCACCCACAAUCAAUAUCGUAACAUAGAAAAAUUACAGAUUCAAGUUCAAACAACCCACAAAAACAAUCACUGCCCAGAUUCAAGCUUCUCCAAACACAGAUUCAAGGCCUCACGAAACAAACACUACACAGAUUUGUAAAAUCAAAUAUGUUGCCUAGGCACAAAAAUGAAAAAUCAAAACUACAAAUAGAAAGUCAAUAACCAGCUGGGCUGCAACAUCGAUAUUCAAGAUUCAAUAGCAUCGGCAACAGCUGCGCAUCUUCAACAUCAGCUCAAACAUGCAACAUCUGGAACAUCGACUCAAAAACUCAACAGGGGAGAGGGUCUCUGAAGCACGUAAAAAAGGACUCAAUACGUCUGUGUGGAUGAGCAAACAUAGGAGUGGAGUGGGUCUCUGAAGGGUAUAAGAAAGGACUUGAUCACUGUGGGUGAGCAAGAAUGAAGAAACCCGUGAAUAGAAGAACUUAGAAGUGGAUCUUUGUGGGUGAGAACAAGAACGAAGAAAAGAGAAGGAAGAAGAUUCGGCUAUGGGCUGCGGCUGCCGAGGAAGGGAAGGGAAUAUGACGGCGUGCGUUGAAAAUGAGGGUGAAUUGUUUAUAAUUGUGUGCCUUUGCAUAGGCCUAAAAC
rnacentral:misc_RNA from 1 species